UACGUAGGGGGCAAGCGUUGUCCGGAAUCAUUGGGCGUAAAGAGCGUGUAGGCGGCUCGAUAAGUCUGCUGUGAAAGUCCAGGGCUCAACCCUGGAAGGCCGGUGGAAACUGUCGGGCUAGAGUUCGGAAGAGGCGAGUGGAAUUCCCGGUGUAGCGGUGAAAUGCGCAGAUAUCGGGAGGAACACCUGCGGCGAAGGCGGGUUGCUGGGCUGACACUGACGCUGAGGCGCGAAAGCCAGGGGAGCGAACGGG
rnacentral:rRNA from 1 species